AAGACGAAGAAGCAGAGCCCGACAUUGUGGGGCUGCAGCUGUUGAUAAAUUUUUUCCGUUCUGACGCCACAAAGCUGCGAGUUCCUGUUAGACGCUAUUCAACACAUCAACAGACUUGUUAUUUUGGUUAUCACGAGUGUACGAUAAUUCCCCUCAAAAUACGAUAAUUUUAUGCCUCUAGUACAAUAAUCCUACAUUUCUCACCUGGCAACACUGCCUCUUCCUAACUGUAAUUUUAUUUAGCUGAAGAAAUGUCAGUGAAGCACGCCAAGCCCAACUUCAGCCCGUCUCAGGUGUCUGAGAUCAUGAAGAGGCUCUACAACCUGACCCCGUCAGAAAUACGCCCGCUGCCCAGCUAUGAUGACCAGAACUUCUAUGUGGCUCCAUCUGAGGGCGGCGAGUAUGUCCUGAAGAUCAUGAACACAGAGGACAGUAAGAAUACCACCGUCAUCGAGUUGCAGACCCAUGCAAUGUCAUUUCUCCACCAUAAUGGGGUUCCUGCUCAAACAGCCAUGCCCACCACCUCAGGACAACUCAUGAGUCUGGAAGAAAUGGAUUGUGGCUAUGGCUGUCAGAAGUACAUGGUCCGACUGCUGAAUUAUUCACCUGGUGUGACUAUUUCAAAGGUCCCUUUAACACCGAAGUUAUUAUAUGAAGCCGGCAGGAUGGCAGCUAGAAUGGAUGAAGUCCUUCAAAAGAUGGAGCAUCCUCAUCUCAACAUUCUGCAGAGGGAUAACUUCAUCUGGAGCCUGUCAAACAUUCUCCUCCUGGAAGGAUACAUGAGUGUAUUAGAUGGAGAUCCACUGCAGAAGGUCAUAAAAUCUGUCAUUCAUCAGUACAAGAACUCUGUGAUCCCCAAACGGUCCAAUUUUCGGGAAUGUAUUAAUCAUGGCGACUUUAAUGACCUGAAUGUGCUUGUGCAGCCCGAUGACAAUAAUGGCUACAAGAUUUCUGGCAUCCUAGACUUUGGGGACAUGAGCAGUGGCUACUAUGUCUACGAACUCGCCAUCACCAUAAUGUACAUGAUGAUUGAGCAUCCUGAUCCCAUCGAGGUCGGUGGGCCAGUCCUCGCCGGCUGGGAAAGUGUCUUCCCUCUCAACGAGGACGAGAAAGACUGCCUUUAUCUGCUGGUGGUCUCGCGCUUCUGCCAGUCGCUGGUUAUGGCUCGGUAUUCCGUGACGUUGCACCCAGAAAAUGAAGAGUACCUUAUGAUUACUUCCAGGAAGGGAAUUAAGAUCCUCCAGCAAGUCUGGGAACUGGGAAAGGAGCAUGUGGAGAAGGUGUGGUUUCAGCGUGCGGCUCAGUUCAAUAAGUGAGUAAAUAAAGACAUCAACUGAAAGCAAAGAAAUACUGAAGAAGAUGAAAACUAUUGAUAACAGUGGUGUCUUGCUUCGGUUAAUGAUGGUUAUAAAUUAGAAUAUCAUUGAAAAGUUCUACUCAUUUGUGAUAUAGAUCCAUUCCACACAGCGUGUUUUAUUUCAAGGGUUUAUUUCUGUUAAUUUGGAUGAUAAUUGCCUUACAGGCAAUGCAAAUGUGAAAUAAAAAAGAAGAUAUUACAUAAAAACUAAAAUGUUUUUUAAUCCAGAGUUAUUACUAAAAAAAUAUGUCAACAUAGUGUACAUUUUAUGCUUGGUCUGGGCCCCUUUGGAGUUAAUUACCAUAUCAGUGCAGCAUGGCGUGGAAGCUAUCAGCUCUUCUCAGGCGUGAAGGAAGCUCAGGUUACUUUAAUAGCAGUGUUCUUGUCUGUUCUGGUGUUCCCUCUUAACACUGCCUGUUCGAUCGUCUGUGGUGUUCACAUUAAGCAUGUUUCUGGCCUAUCAAGCACAGUGAUACCAUGGUCUUUAAAGCAGGUUUUGGAACUUUCGAAAGUAUGGGUGAGUGUCAAGUCUUGCUGAAAAAUGUAAUCAGCAUCUCUAUAAAGGUUGUCAGCAAGUGGAAGCAUGAAGUGCUCUAAUAUUUCCUGGUAGAUGGCUGAGCUGACUUUGGACUUGAUGAAACACUAUAGACCAACACCAGCAGAUGACAUGGAAACGUCAGACUGGACCUCAAGCCAACUAGAUUCUAUACAUCUCCACCCUUCCCCCAGACUUGGGGACCUUGACUUCCAAAGGAAAUGCAAGAUAUACUUUUAUUUGAAAAAAGGACUUUAGACCACUGAGCAUCAAUCUCGUCUUUUUUGUCUCUACACCAGGAAAGAUACGUCUGACGAUGUGUCUGGUUCAGAAGUGGCUUAACACAAGUUAUGAAACUGUUUUAGUCCAUAUCCUGAAUACAUCUACAUUUGAUGGUUCUUAAAGCUCAGACUCCUGGUAUAUCACUUCAUGUGUAAUGAAUCCGAGUUUCACUUUUUAAAUAGAAUUACUCAGAUUAACUUUUUAAAGACAUUCUAAUUAUUGAGAUUCACCCUUAACCUUCAGACUGGCUCAUUAAUUUGUGGUUAACAAAGUAUGUUUGACAAGAUGUUACAUUUACUAAUGAGUUAAAAGGAGUCGUGUCUUUUGGGUUUUAGCACCUUAACACAGUGGGACUUGUUCUAAAUAAUAGGAGCUCACUUGUGAAAAUUGCUUUUAUUUUCCUUUUCCAAGUAUUCAAUGCUUUACUAAAAGUAGAUAAGCAUUCAAAACUGUAUUUAUUACAUUGAAAUGCACUACUCUGUUUAAAUUCCAAGAAAAUGCAUUUUUUACAUCAGGCUGAUUUUUGUAAAAAAAAAAAAAAAAAGGAAUUUCAAACUCUCCUGUAAAAUAUUGAUCCACAUUAGAUUCAAGAGAGAACAUUUAAACAGUUUGCUGAAAAGCCAGUAAAUGUGUGCUGAAUGUGUUAGAAAAUGAUUUUGCUUGUGUACAUUUCUUUAAAAAGUACCAAAUGCUAUAAUCUCUGCUAAAGAGUUUAUGCCUUGUAUUAGAAAUACUUACCAUGUAUUUUUAUACAAAACACCACAUUUUGUUUUUUUCUAGUAAUCACAUUUGUGCUUACAAGACAUACACAAGUUAAACUUGGUGCUUCAAAGGGUUCAGAAAUAAAUUGUUUAAAGUGUUUUUUCCACCUUUUUAUAUUGUUCCUUAUGUGUCUUUUUAGAAGAGGUUUUUAGAUUUUUAAGUGUACUGCAUUUCAACUAAAUGUCCAACCAAACCAGCUGUGAGUGUAAAAGACGAGGAGCCUAAAAAGAGAUAAAGGUUGACUUUUUAUAUAGGAGAGCCUCAGUGUUCAUGAGCCAGAAUAAAAUUGACACAUAGAGUAAUCAGGUAAUUUUUUGGGGGGGAGGGGGGUGGUGUUUAACUUUAUUAUUAACAGUUGCUAGUCUAACUAGUACAUUUAUUCUUUUUUUGAUAUUUGGUAAAUUAUUGAUUUCUUGUACUAUUAAUUUCACUGCAAAGCAUGCCUUAUAUGAAUGAUUGUACAAAUGCUCAUACAACAAAGCACACUCAAAUUUGGAAAUAAAACAACUUGUGUAAUUUAACUGCUCGAUGUGUUGUAUAGCAGUAUGUUUAUGUCUCUUGCACAACAUGCAUGUCUUGGUCUUACGCAUGUUGAUCAUUGCCAGACUUACAAAAUCACAGCAUUUGACAUGUCAGCAGACUGGAUAAAAUAUGGCGUAAUACUGCCCUCAUGUGGUGGCUUUAAAACCCUACUGUAAUGGAGGACAUACAUUAUAUUGCCAAAAGUAUUGGGUCACACUGCAGGAGGUCCUGGCCUCAACCUUCUUCAAAAUGUAACAAGUGUUAAAUCCUGAGCCUGUUCUGCCUGUGCGUUAAGUCUCACGAUAUUUACCAAUUGAGUUGGUAGUUCUCGCGAGAUAACUUACCUGAACCAUUAUGGCCAAUCACGUUAUUAUUCACACGGUCACGUGUGCUGCCGCUGCCAAUCGGAUAAGCUUAUUAACGUGUUAACGCUGGAGAAAGCAGAGCUGCAGAUUGGUGCCAGGUGGUACCUUUUUGAUGGCGAGCUGAUGGAGCAGGCCUAGAGCCUACAUAAAAACUGUUGCACUAUUGUAGUGUAUGAAGACUGCUACCUCUCCUGCCAGGUUGGUAGGGGACUCCUUGCAGCCCAUGAAAUUUGUAUUCCACUAAUUUCAUCACAACAGGUAACCUGUACUGGAAGCGACACUUUCAGCCUCUCUGGACUGAACUUCUAUACCCAGGUUGGGUUUAAUGAGCUGACAGUGAGUGGGGAAACCUUGCUGUUGGACUUUUGUUGGGGACACUUUAUUGUUGGACUACUAUUAGGAGAAAAACAAAAGAAAUUUGUGCUGUCAUAAUAAACUGUUCUUGAUUAACUUUU